AAUGAAAUGCCUGAAAAAGGAUUAUUUUGAUAGAAUAAAACAUGUAAAUUUAUUACUUUCAUUA
rnacentral:tRNA from 1 species